GCUGCCAUGGCCUUGGGCAGUUCUGCCUCUGUGGCUUUACAGGGUACAGCCCCACUCCGGACUGCUUUCAUAAGCUGAUGUUGAGCGUCUGUGCAUUUUCCAGGUGCAUGGUGCAAGCUGUUGAGGUAGCUCCUGCUUCUGCAUCAUGAAGGAAGUUGCACUUGUUCCCGCAGAAACAGGAUAUCACUGACCACAUCUGACAUGACAACACAGCAAGGAAAUGGAGCACCUUUGAACUGCAGCAUAUCAUCACCCGGAGCUCGACAGAAACCCAGGCUCUCAGCUAUCCCCAUCCCCUGCUCUCCAGCCAAGACCCGGGGAGUCAGCACCUGCAUUUUCGCAAGCUCCCCAGGUGGUUUGUAGCACACUGAACUGCCAGUAGCACUGUCUUUCAGAACUAUGCCAAGGCCAGACAGUGGCAGGGACUCAACCACACUCUGCCCCACAUGAGGAGGUUGACAGAACGCAGAGAGGGCCCAGGGACGAGGCCCAGGCCAGGCAUUUGGGGAAACACAACAGGAGGCACAGCCCAGGGGGCUGAGUCUGUGCCCAGCGACCUGGCUGGAAAGCAAUCCCAAAUCUCUCCCGCUCUGAGGACUCUGUGUGGUUAGAAAUAAUCUCUGGAAGCCAAAGGGCUAAGUGGCACGUUCCCUGUGUGCCUGUCUGGCUUUCAGGGACGUCUCUUUGUUGUGAAUUCUGUCACUUCCUGUCACAAGAGGGCUUUGGAACUGAAGUUACUCUUGAGAGCAUCAGGUAAAAUUUUUGAAUUAAAAUAAAACCAGUUGGCCAGGCGCAGUGGCUCACGCCUGUAAUCCCAGCACUUUGGGAGGCCGAGGCGGGCGGAUCACUUGAGGUCAGGAGUUUGAGACCACCCUGGCCAACAUGGCGAAACUCCCUCUCUACUAAAAAUACAAAAGUUAGCCGGCAUGGUAGCUCAUGCCUGUAAUCCCAGCUACUUGGGAGGCUGAGGCAGGAGAAUCUCUUGAACCGAGGAGGUGGAGGUUGCAGUGAGCCAAGAUGGCGACACUGCACUCCAGCCUGGCGACAGAAUGACACUCCGUCUCAAAAAUAAAUAAAUAAAACCAGUUGACAAAGGAAGCUGUGCUGAAGUAAUAGAGAUUUUAUAAUAGGAAGGAGCACAUGGGAGGGCUCCUGACUUCUUGAGAAGCGACUGUCACCGAGGAAUAGGCGGGACACUAUCAGAGGCGGAGCCCCUGCUGGCUACUCCAAGAGCCAGGUCUACCUCAAAUCCCGAACUCACAAACCUACUAGUGAGUGCUGAGCACCUCCUCCAGCAGCCUCAUACAGGGAGAUGCCAGGAAGAACCAACAAGCCCACUCCAUCCUGGUGGAAAUAGCUAUUAUUCCACUGAUAAUCCAUUUAGACCCGAAAAAAGGAAAAUAACAGAGGACCGUGAACAGAACGAUUCUUCAGCAGGUGUAUUCCCAAUCCAACAUUCUGCUACAGCCGAGAUAAAUAAACUGAAGUUCUGCUGAACAAGAAAGGAUGUCAGUACAACCUAAAAUCAUUUGCCAGAAAAUAUGAAAAUAUAGAAUCCUUCCUUUUCUGGAGGGUGGUCUUGAAGUCUGUCACCAGAAGAACUCAUACCUGAAGCGGGGACAAUGGAGCCCACUGAGCAGUGCAAGCUGGGCUCCAUUAUCAGAGUAACCACACCUGCAGAAUGGGACAUGCUUUGUUUGCCCUAACCCAAGGCCAGAUUUCUUUUUAGUUGGAAAAAAAAAUGGUUUUAAGUAAGAAUGUUGUGCAAGGGAUAGAGUGGCGGGAAUCGUAGAGGAAGAUCACGUCCAACAACCACAGUGCACCACAAGUUCUUGGAACCUGCUGCUGCCUUCAUAUUUGGCACUAACCAGCCUAUUGUCCUGUCUAGACAAGUGCUACAGGCUGAGUAAACAGGGAAUUGCUGCAUAAAGCCUCUAUUCAUCCAGAAUGAAAAUGUGUCAAUGUGCAGCCUUUUAGAGUCCAAGGGGGCCUUUGUACAGAGAAAGAACUGUUUACAGUCACUUUGGUUUUCAAUUAGUAGUCACUUAUUAAUGUUACAAAAUUUAAAACCCAUCUGCCUUAAAUUUUAAGUGCAAUUUACAAGACGUUUUAUUUUAUUUGAAAUUCUAAUAAAAUAUGAGUCACUUUUAGUUAUUAUUUUAUUAAUACCUGAUUAACUUAAGCUAAACAGGCUAAAUUCCUUUUAAUAGCCAUUCCCAUUUACAAAGUUAGUUAAUUCCCCAAGUUCUUAGUCAUUUCCAUAAGCAUUUUAAUUAUUUGCAAAUUUCACAUAUUUAAGGUUCUCUUCUAGGAGUUCAAAUGCUUAAAGGGUAAACUAAACAUUCCUUACAAGCAAUACAAUUUUAUAAUCUAAUAAAUUAGACUACAGAUAGAUAGAUAUUAAUAUAGAUAUAUUAAUGCACCACAUAAUGACCACAUACACCAAUGAUGUUUGUCCCAUAAGAUUAAAAUGGAGUUGAAAAAUUCCUAUUGCCUAGUAAUAUAACAGCCAUCGUAAUGUCAUAAGGCAACACAUUACUCAUGUAUUUGUGGUGAUGCUGGUGUAAACAAACCUACUGAGCUGCCAGUCCUAUAAAAGUCUAGCACAUACAAUUCUGUAUAGUGCAUAAUACUUGAUAAUGAUAAUAAAUGGCUGUUACUGAUUUACAUAUUUGCUAUAUUUUUACUGCUAAUUUAGAGUGUACUCCUUCUACUCAGAAAAAUAAAAAACUUAACUGUAAAACAGCCUCGCACAGGUCCUUCAAGAGGUAUCCAGAAGUUGUUGUUAUCAUAGGAGAUGAC